rnacentral:tRNA from 1 species
AGGUACAGCUCAAUGGUAGAGCACUUGCCUUGCAUGCGGGAGGCCCUGGGUUCAAUCCCCAGCAUUUG